rnacentral:rRNA from 1 species
UACAGAGGGUGCAAGCGUUGUUCGGAAUUAUUGGGCGUAAAGGGCGCGUAGGCGGUGCCACAAGUCACCUGUGAAAUCUCCGGGCUUAACUCGGAGCCUGCAGGCGAAACUGUGGUGCUGGAGUGUGGGAGAGGUGCGUGGAAUUCCGGGUGGAGCGGUGAAAUGCGUAGAGAUCCGGAGGAACACCGACGGCGUAGGCAGCGCCCUGGCUGUGAAUAAAGCUGACACUGAGGCACGAAAGCUGGGGGAGCAAACAGG